rnacentral:lncRNA from 1 species
UGGAUACAACACUGUCUUGCCAAGUUUGAGUACCUUCCGAACAAUGCAAAUGGGUGGACCGAUAGUCUGUUACGGGCCACCAUGCAAACUAGUUUUGCCGAAGCCCAAACCCAUACUGAAUCGAAUUCAGUGUUCAAUAGAGAUCCUUCUGCAUGUGACAGUUUUGAUUAAUCAUUCUUUGUUUCUUUUUUUUUUGUAAAAUUUGUGUUUCUUUUUUUGGUAAAAUCAUUGUGUUUCAUUUUUACCCUAAAAACUUGUUUUUUUAUUCGGUGAUGAAUUUUUUGAUUUAUAAGUUUCAUAGAGUGUGCUAUACGGGUGAGAUGCAUGUGUGUUUAUUGUGUUUUACCACAAGUCAAUUAACCUAAUGUACACGCUACUACAAUCGAAUGGUAUAUCGUUGCAACACUUUAGGAUUGAAUCUACAAGGAACUAGUGAUCUAUA